rnacentral:rRNA from 1 species
AACGCUAGCGGCAGGCCUAAUACAUGCAAGUUGAACGGGAUUUCGAACUUCGGUUUGAAUGAGAGUAGCGCACGGGUGCGUAACGCGUAUGCAACCUACCUUUUACAGGGGGAUAGCCCGGGGAAACUCGGAUUAAUACCCCAUGGUAUCAUAAUACUGCAUGGUAUAAUGAUUAAAGAUUUAUCGGUAAAAGAUGGGCAUGCGUCUGAUUAGUUAGAUGGUGAGGUAACGGCUCACCAUGGCAAUGAUCAGUAGGGGUUCUGAGAGGAUGAUCCCCCACACUGGUACUGAGACACGGACCAGACUCCUACGGGAGGCAGCAGUAGGGAAUAUUGGUCAAUGGGCGAGAGCCUGAACCAGCCAUGCCGCGUGUAGGAUGACGGCCUUCUGGGUUGUAAACUACUUUUCUACAGGAAGAAAAAGCUUAUGCGUAAGCAAUUGACGGUACUGUAGGAAUAAGCACCGGCUAACUCCGUGCCAGCAGCCGCGGUAAUACGGAGGGUGCAAGCGUUGUCCGGAUUUAUUGGGUUUAAAGGGUGCGUAGGCGGCCAAUUAAGUCAGUGGUGAAAUCCUUCCGCUUAACGGGAGAACUGCCAUUGAAACUGGUUGGCUUGAGUACGGUUGAAGUAGGCGGAAUUUAUGGUGUAGCGGUGAAAUGCAUAGAUACCAUAAAGAACACCGAUAGCGUA